rnacentral:lncRNA from 1 species
ACACAGGAUUGAUUUCCAAAGACUCAUGCUAUGUAAGGAAGCCACCAAGAAGGGCAAAGAAAAGGAGCCAGGGACGGCUCUUCCUCAGGGACACUAGACUUUCAGGGAUGUGGCUAUAGAUUUCUCUUUGGAGGAGUGGAAAUGCCUGAACCCUGCACAGAGGGCUUUAUACAGGGAAGUGAUGUUGGAGAACUACAGGAACCUGGAGUUUGUGGGGACAUACGUGACAUUUGGUGAGAUGUGGGACAGGAGGACUCCUUCAGGAGACUGAUCCCCUGUCCUGAUCUCCAUGAGGAGCUCCAGCUACGACCUCAGGUCCUCAGACCAACCAGCCCAAGGAACGUCUCACCAAUUUCAAAUUGGAGACAGAGGAGACAUGUUUUAUCCAUGAACCCAAAACUCCAGCGCUGGUCACGGACUUGGGAAGACAGUCUUCCCUUGGUGUUUAAUCACUGCAGGGAUGCCUGUCUGAUUAUUCACCCACAUUUCAGACUUGUUCAAUCACCACAGGGACACCUGCCUUGAUCCUCCACCUUGGUGGCAAGUACCAUUUCCUCUUUGUGGCAAGUACCACCCCACUCUCUCUGUGUCUCUACCCCUCUUUUCUCUAAACUUACGUUUUUACUAUGGGCAACCAUCCACCCUCCAUUCCUCCUACUUCCCCCUUAGCCUGUGUUCUUAAAAACUUGAAACCUCUUCAACUCUCACCUGAUC